GUCCACGCAGUAAACGAUGGAUGCUAGCUGUCCGGGGGGAUUGGCCCCUGGGCGGCACAGCGAAAGCGUUAAGCAUCCCACCUGGUGAGUACGCCGGCAACGGUGAAACUCAAAGGAAUUGACGGGGGCCCGCACAAGCGGAGGAACAUGUGGUUUAAUUCGAUGAUACGCGAGGAACCUUACCCGGGCUCAAACGCAGCAGGGAUGCAAUCCGAAAGGAGGCAGCCGCAAGGCCUGCUGCGAGGUGCUGCAUGGUUGUCGU
rnacentral:rRNA from 1 species